UUUUUUUUUUUUUUUUUUUUGUAGAGACAGGGUUUCGCCAUGUUGCCUAGGCUGGUCUCCAACCUGGUCUCCUGGGCUCAAGCGAUCCGCCCGCCUCGGCCUCCCACAGUGCUGGGAUUCCAGGCGUGAGCUACCGCGCCCGGCCUAUUUACUUUUCUUACUAAGCUGGGGAUCACCGUCGCCCUCGGCUUGGCAGGAAGGCGGGGGUGCAAGAAGAAAAGAGGUACAGAACACCCAGAGGUGCCCUCGAUUCCGUCUUGCACUUGCCCUUCUCCCACCGUCCAGCAAUAAAGCGAGAGAAACAAGUGCAGGAAACUGGCCGGCAGUCAUGGGAGAAGCCAAAAAGACAGGUGAGCAGCGCGUCCGCCUCCCGCGCACAGCCUUGGGGAGCCGGCGGGAUCCAGAGCGGGGCUCCUCUCCGCACUUUGUAGCUGCGUUGCUCCGCUCCAUGCCCUGCCUCAGCCACUCCUCCUGGUUACCAGGCAAAAGGAAACACCUUGAGCUGGCCAGGAGCUACCAGCGUCUGUCUACACCUGGGCUGGAGUGCAGCGGCAUGAUCUCGGCACACUGCAGCCACCGUCUUCCAGGUUCAAGCGAUUCUCCCACCUCAGCCUCCCGAGGAGCUGGGAUUACAGGAGUUCAGUGGCAUGACCAGGGCUCACUGCAACCUUGAUCUGGGCUCAAGUGAUCCUCCUACCUCAGCUUCCUGAGUAGCUAGGACCACAGGUGUGCACCAACCACACCCGACUAAUUUUUGUAGAGAUGAGAUCCCACUAUGUUACCCAGGCUGGUCUUGAACUCCUGGGCUCAGGUGAUCAUCCUGCCUUGGCUUCCCAAAGUACUGGGAUUAUAGGCUUGAGCCACCGUGCCUGGCCUGUGAUCAGAAUUCUCAUUUUUUUAGUCACUAAAAAUGCUGGGGGGCACUCCAUUCUCCAUUAUGUGAUUAGUUCACAUUGCAUGCUUGUAUCAAAACAUCAUAUAUACCCCACAAAUAUAUACAAAAAACUUUAAAAUUUUAAGUAUUAAUUGCUCAGGAAAAAAUUAAAAUGCUGGGGUGCUGAAAUCUCAAGGGCCCCAUUACAAAACUCCUUAGGAACCUCGCCCUCUCUCUGCUGUAAGGACUGGUUCCAGAAUGAGAGAAUUUAAAAGACAUUCCCCCCCCAAAAUGUUCAUAAUGUCACCCCGGAAACCUGCGAAUAUGUUAUAUUACAUGACCAGGGAGAAGUAAGGUUGCAGAUGGCAGUAAGGUUGCUAAUGGGCUGACCUUAAGAUAAGGAGAUGAUCCUGGAUUAUCUGGGUGGACCCAAUGUAAUCACAAGGGUCCUUAACUGUGGAAUAGUGAGGUGGCUGAGUCAGAGGCAGAGUGAUGCAAUGACUGAAAGACUUAACCAGCCAUCACCGGCUUUGAAUACGGAAGACGGUCAUGAGCCAGGGAAUGCAGGCAGGCUCUGGGAGCUGAAAAAAGCAAGAAAAUGGAUUCUCCCCUGGAGCCUCCAGAAGGGAUGCGGUCCUGCCAACCCCUUGUCAGUGAGCCAUUUCAGAUUUCUGACUUCCAGGACUGUAAGAAAAUAAACUUGUCUUGUUUUCAGCCAAAAAAAAAAAAAAAAAAAAAAAAAAAAAAA
rnacentral:lncRNA from 1 species